GCACAAUAUCGGAGUGAUCGUGUUCAGAAAAUGUGAGAAACAGUCAUCUCGGGUUUUUAUUCGGCAUGGCAAGUCACAGGAUUGAUUACUGAAAAUUGAAUGGAUUUAUCUUUUUGUUAGCGAGACAAUAUAAUAAGGUAUGGGUCAUAAGGGAGGCGGUGGUGGCAAAGGCGGCACAAACGGCGGAGGCGGUGGUGGCGGUGGUGGUGGCGGUGGACUUGGUGGUGGACACGGCGGAAAAGGUGGUGACCGCGGUCAAAACGGAGGAAAAGGUGGUGAUGCCAGAUUUCCACUUGGUGGUGGUGGAGGUGGAGGCGGCGGUGGCUCAGGCGGCGGCAAGGGUGGCGAAGGCGGCAAGGGGUGGUGGGCUUCAGACGGUAAAAAAGGUCAAGAUGGUGACCGAAGAUGAAAAUGGUGUUGUGUCAUUUUUAAAGCGAAUGUUUUAUUCUUGAAGUGAUUAACGGUUGUAAUGUUUCAAAUGAAUCUUACCGCCAAAGACAUAUUCAUAUCAACAAGAACGGCAACAACAACAAACAAUAAAUCUACUUCUCUCCGAAUUUGCAUGUUUGUAUAUGUAUGUAUCAUUUGUAACUUUGUUUUACCAAAACGUGUUGUCAAAGAAAUGUGUUUAUUUAAAUAAACAAUACAAUGAUUUCUUUUUUUAUUGCGAUAAAAGUGGCUGGGUUUUUUAACAUAAUACAAAUAACAUUUUAUUUCAAGCAUUUCAAAUGAUAUCUGUUUUCCAGGACAUUCAUGUUGUAAAAUGUACAUAUUACAUCUGUUCUCGGGAUAUUAUGGUGCCUUCCUGUUUCGAUCAAUAGGUCAUGUGAAGACACUCUAAAUUUUGUAAGGGCAAUUCUAAAUUUAUUAGUGUGUUUAAUAUCGAGAAAUUCUUUCUUGCUUAAGUUAUUGUUUUAAACCAGCUAUAUGAGUCUAGUCUAUUUGAUUCAUUAAUAUAUGUAUUCCAUGACUGUUUAUAGAUAUCGAUUAUUCUUUUUUUUUGAAUCGAUGUGGUUUGUAUAUCUUGAUUUAACCAGAUCUCUUACAUUCCAAUUUCAUCUUAGAAUUUAUUUAUCUGAUUUAGCCAAUUAAUUUUUUGCUAGAAUUAUUGUUUCAACGUCACUUUUUAACAUUGCAUAUUGAUAUUAUUAUCCAAUAUUUAAGUAUCUUUUUUUUGUUCAGUGAUCAUUGGCUGUCUGCCUAUUUCACCGUCUAGCGCGGGUAGGUUGGUACCUUUUCUGACGUUCGGAUUUUUUUUCUCAUAAAUAUGCAUUGAAUAAACUACAAUGUCUUUUGCUGGAGAAUGUCCAAUGAUUUCUGAUCCGUAAUUAAGAAUUGAUCACUUGAGAUUGUCAAAACUAUUCGCGUUUUCUUUGAGAUAAAGGUUAAGUUGAUUUAAAAAGUAUAAACAAUAAACAAAAUAUAUACGGCAGUGUUGUGCAAUGUGUUUCUAUGUCCUAUUCCAGUUUCCAUUCCUAAACAAGGUAACAACUAAAUAUUAAAAUGA